rnacentral:rRNA from 1 species
UUGUCCAGGCAAAUCCGGAUAAUCAAGGCUGAGGUGUGAUGACGAGGCACUACGGUGCUGAAGUAACAAAUGCCCUGCUUCCAGGAAAAGCCUCUAAGCAUCAGGUAACAUCAAAUCGUACCCCAAACCGACACAGGUGGUCAGGUAGAGAAUACCAAGGCGCUUGAGAGAACUCGGGUGAAGGAACUAGGCAAAAUGGUGCCGUAACUUCGGGAGAAGGCACGCUGGUGUGUAGGUGAAGCCCCUGCGGGUGGAGCUGAGACCAGUCGAAGAUACCAGCUGGCUGCAACUGUUUAUUAAAAACACAGCACUGUGCAAACACGAAAGUGGACGUAUACGGUGUGACGCCUGCCCGGUGCCGGAAGGUUAAUUGAUGGGGUUAUCCGUAAGGAGAAGCUCUUGAUCGAAGCCCCGGUAAACGGCGGCCGUAACUAUAACGGUCCUAAGGUAGCGAAAUUCCUUGUCGGGUAAGUUCCGACCUGCACGAAUGGCGUAAUGAUGGCCAGGCUGUCUCCACCCGAGACUCAGUGAAAUUGAACUCGCUGUGAAGAUGCAGUGUACCCGCGGCAAGACGGAAAGACCCCGUGAACCUUUACUAUAGCUUGACACUGAACAUUGAGCCUUGAUGUGUAGGAUAGGUGGGAGGCUUUGAAGCGUGGACGCCAGUCUGCGUGGAGCCAACCUUGAAAUACCACCCUUUAAUGUUUGAUGUUCUAACGUUGGCCCCUGACCGGGGUUGCGGACAGUGUCUGGUGGGUAGUUUGACUGGGGCGGUCUCCUCCCAAAGCGUAACGGAGGAGCACGAAGGUUAGCUAAUCCUGGUCGGACAUCAGGAGGUUAGUGCAAUGGCAUAAGCUAGCUUGACUGCGAGCGUGACGGCGCGAGCAGGUGCGAAAGCAGGUCAUAGUGAUCCGGUGGUUCUGAAUGGAAGGGCCAUCGCUCAACGGAUAAAAGGUACUCCGGGGAUAACAGGCUGAUACCGCCCAAGAGUUCAUAUCGACGGCGGUGUUUGGCACCUCGAUGUCGGCUCAUCACAUCCUGGGGCUGAAGUAGGUCCCAAGGGUAUGGCUGUUCGCCAUUUAAAGUGGUACGCGAGCUGGGUUUAGAACGUCGUGAGACAGUUCGGUCCCUAUCUGCCGUGGGCGCUGGAGAAUUGAGGGGGGCUGCUCCUAGUACGAGAGGACCGGAGUGGACGCAUCACUGGUGUUCGGGUUGUCAUGCCAAUGGCACUGCCCGGUAGCUAAAUGCGGAAGAGAUAAGUGCUGAAAGCAUCUAAGCACGAAACUUGCCCCGAGAUGAGUUCUCCCUGAGACUUUAAGUCUCCUGAAGGAACGUUAAAGACGAUGACGUUGAUAGGCCGGGUGUGUAAGCGCAGCGAUGCGUUGAGCUAACCGGUACUAAUGAACCGUGAGGCUUAACCUU